GGAUUAGAUACCCUAUUAUUUUAGAUUUAAAGUUGGAUGAAACUUGAGUAGUAUUAGUUAUGGUCUUGAAACUUAAAGAAUUUGGCGGUAUCUUAGUCUAUUUAGAGGAACCUGUUCAGUUAUCGAUAAUCCACGUUGGACCUUACUUAAUUUAUUAAUAUGUAUACCGCCGUUUAAUUUGAAAAUCUUAGAAGGGUAAAAAUUUUCUAAACAUAAGAUAUUAUAGUAUUUCAGGUCAAGGUGCAGUUUAUAAUUAAGUUGUAAUGGGUUACAAUGCUUUAGUAGACGGAUUAUUAUUUGAAAUGAUUAAUAUGAAGGUGGAUUUAAUAGUAAUUUUAAGAAGUUUAUUAAGGUGAUUGAAGCUCUAUGAUGUGUACACAUCGCCCGUCACUCUCGUUAAUUUAAGAUGAGAUAAGUC
rnacentral:rRNA from 1 species